rnacentral:rRNA from 1 species
UACGAAGGGGGCUAGCGUUGUUCGGAAUUACUGGGCGUAAAGCGCACGUAGGCGGAUCGAUUAGUCAGGGGUGAAAGCCCAGAGCUCAACUCUGGAACUGCCUUUGAUACUGUCGAUCUGGAGCAGAGUAGAGGUGAGUGGAAUUCCGAGUGUAGAGGUGAAAUUCGUAGAUAUGCGGAGGAACACCAGUGGCGAAGGCGGCUCACUGGACUCUUGCUGACGCUGAGGUGCGAAAGCGUGGGGAGCAAACAGG